UUGCAGACUGGGUGCGGAUGAGUUGCUCAGCAGGCUAAUAAGGAACGCGGCACAUGCGCUUGCAAGUUAAAGAGUAACGACAGACAGCAGAUUGCUUGUGGAGUUCUCUGUUGUGGAUAGAAACGCUCAAAGGAUUCCCAGGAAAUGAUGUAUUCAUGUAUCAGACGUAAAUCGGAAGACAUCAACCACGGUGUUGUCUGCCGUCCAUCUCGUUGUCCAGUUUUUUCAUUGGCUCGACUGCAAUUUAAAGUACAAUAUUGCCAUAUUUUCAGGUUGUACAAGGUCCUGUUGUAAUUAUUAUACAAAGUAUAACAAUUCAUAACACAUAAAUACACAACACUAUCUGCACUAUACAAAAAUAUACACAAUGCUAAACUAUGCAUCUAUACAAUAAAAAAU